UUCUUGGAGAGUUUGAUCCUGGCUCAGGACGAACGCUGGCGGCGUGCCUAAUACAUGCAAGUCGAGCGGACUUGAUGAGGAGCUUGCUCCUCUGAUGGUUAGCGGCGGACGGGUGAGUAACACGUAGGCAACCUGCCUGCAAGACUGGGAUAACUACCGGAAACGGUAGCUAAUACCGGAUAAUUUAUCGCUUCGCAUGGAGCGGUAAUGAAAGACGGAGCAAUCUGUCACUUGCAGAUGGGCCUGCGGCGCAUUAGCUAGUUGGUGAGGUAACGGCUCACCAAGGCGACGAUGCGUAGCCGACCUGAGAGGGUGAACGGCCACACUGG
rnacentral:rRNA from 1 species